rnacentral:rRNA from 1 species
CCUACGGGGUGCAGCAGUGGGGAAUAUUGGACAAUGGGCGAAAGCCUGAUCCAGCCAUGCCGCGUGUGUGAAGAAGGCCUUCGGGUUGUAAAGCACUUUCAGUGGGGAAGAAAGCCUUGGGGCUAAUACCCUCGAGGAAGGACAUCACCCACAGAAGAAGCACCGGCUAACUCCGUGCCAGCAGCCGCGGUAAUACGGGGGGUGCGAGCGUUAAUCGGAAUUACUGGGCGUAAAGCGCGCGUAGGCGGUCUGAUAAGCCGGUUGUGAAAGCCCCGGGCUCAACCUGGGAACGGCAUCCGGAACUGUCAGGCUAGAGUGCAGGAGAGGAAGGUAGAAUUCCCGGUGUAGCGGUGAAAUGCGUAGAGAUCGGGAGGAAUACCAGUGGCGAAGGCGGCCUUCUGGACUGACACUGACGCUGAGGUGCGAAAGCGUGGGUAGCAAACAGGAUUAGAUACCCGGGUAGUC